rnacentral:ncRNA from 1 species
UGCCGGGUCGAUAGCUCCUAAUACAAUACCUGCAAGGGGAAUAAGAGCAGCGUUCCUAGAACGUAGUUGAGUCCCGGCAUUUCUCAU